AUGACCAAAAGCUGCUUGAUCAGAAGAAUUCAAUUUAUAACAAGAUUUGCCACUUCAAAGUCAAUUUUAUCUUUUUCUUACCCAGAGGCUGCGAAUGAACCAUUUCCAGCAGAUUGCAAGAGAGGGUCAUGCAGCGUAAAUGAUGGAGCCAGAUCUACAGCCUACAAGCUUGGCCCUGUGACAGGCUGCACCUGACUUCUGGCGAACUCUUAGUAGAAAGAGUAUUGGCCUUCAGGGACUCUGUUGGACUGAUCUGAACCAGUGCAUUGCAUCACAGGAGUCCCAGCAGGUGGAGAUGCUGACAGCUUGAAGGGGAAUCCCCAAGAACCCCCAUGAGUUCUUACAAAAUCAAGGCUUGUCUUUUGAGAUGUGUGGUUUUAUUUUGCUUUCCAUAAAUACAGAAG
rnacentral:lncRNA from 1 species